UGCCAGCCUCCGCUGUACUACUUAUUGAGCAAUCGUUGUCCGGAAUCAUUGGGCGUAAAGAGCGUGUAGGCGGCCAAGUCAGUCUGGUGUGAAAUCUUGAGGCUCAACCUCAAGCGUGCAUCGGAUACUGCUUGGCUAGAGUCCGGAAGAGGAGAUCGGAAUUCCUGGUGUAGCGGUGAAAUGCGCAGAUAUCAGGAGGAACACCUACUGCGAAGGCAGGUCUCUGGUACGUGACUGACGCUGAGACGCGAAAGCGUGGGGAGCGAACAGGAUUAGAUA
rnacentral:rRNA from 1 species